AUUGAACGCUGGCGGCAGGCUUAACACAUGCAAGUCGAGCGAGCGGCGGACGGGGGAGUAAUGACUGGGAAACUGCCUGAUGGAGGGGGAUAACUACGGGAAACGGUAGCGAAUACCGCAUACCAUCAGAUGGGCCCAGAUGGGAUUAGCUAGUAGGUGGGGUAAUGGCUCACCUAGGCGACGAUCCCUAGCUGGUCGGAGAGGAUGACCAGCCACACUGGAACUGAGACACGGUCCCGACUCCGACGGGAGGCAGCAGUGGGGAAUAUUGCACAGUGGGCGCAAGCCUGAUGCAGCCAUGCCGCGUGUGUGAAGAAGGCCUUCGGGUUGUAAAGCACUUUCAGCGAGGAGGCGUUACUCGCAGAAGAAGCACCGGCUAACUCCGUGCCAGCCGCCGCGGUAAUAC
rnacentral:rRNA from 1 species